GCCUGAAACACCCGCUCAAGAAAAUCUAUUUUUUUCUGCACUCUGAGAAUGGAACCUUUCAUUAAAAUAUAGAUGAUGCUAUGUUUCACCCAUUAUAUAAUCAUAUUUGUGAAUCAAUUAUUAGUAAGCCUAAUGUUCUAUGUGCAGGUACAGGAGUAAUGUGAUUUUUCAGCAGUGAAGGUUUCUUUGAAUCGCCAGUUUGAUGGAAUUCCAUCCUACUGUCUCUCGGGAAGGAUUUGUUUGUCUGGACAGAUGAAUGUGUUGCAGCUGACCAUAAAACCAUGCCUCUGAUGAGCCCUGUCAUCAUUACUAAGAAAUGCAGAAACCCUCCAGAUGGAUCAGCAGCCCUCCUUGAAAGAGAGAGCAGAGCCCUCCUUGAGUCUUAAUAUGAUAAACAGACCCCGGAUGGAUAUUUUCACUUGGCCAGAUCAGAUAACCUCACCUCAACCUGCCGACAACCAUCGCCCAACCAUCACUGCUGCAGCAGAACACAUGCACUUGAAAGGUCUGGAGGAGAAUUACCCUGACACAUACCAAUGGACUCAAGCUCCAGCAGCACAACACCCCACCAGCUGAAAUACAUCAAGAUAUAGAGGAUCUCUAUGGCUCCACCAUCUCCCACACAUACUGUACUGGCCUAGAGAGAGACCCACAGAGGCAAGGUGCCAUGGACACAGUGUCUUCAGCUAAGACCUCACCACACCUCCCAUGGACUGUCUAUCAGAGAAAAGGAGUAUGUGAUGUACUCAGUGCUCGUGCUCGUUCUCUCUCUCUCUCUCUCUCUCUCUCUCUCUCUCUCUCUCUCUCUCUCUCUCUCUCUCUCUCUCUCUCUCUCUCUCUCUCUCUCUCUCUCUCUCUCUCUCUCCCUCCCCCCUCCCUCCCUGAGAUCUGGAAUACAAUCAUAGAGAGGCCAGUACUAGAAGUCACACUGUGUAUGUGGCCCAUCAUAGCUCCCCAGUCCCCAUCAGGCUUGUGGUUGGUCCAUGGCCGUCCCCAGUCCCCAUCAGGCCUGCGGUUGGUCCAUGGCCAUCCCCAUCAGGCAUGUGCUUGGUCCAUGGCCGUCCCCAGUGGAGUAGAGGACUGAGAUCAUGUUUUUCAGCAUCACAAUGUAUUCAUGAUGUGUUGUCGUUGUCCCAGGACAAAAUCAAUUCAGUAAGCUUUUGCCUGUUGAGUGAAAAUAUUGCAGUGUAAUAAGUUGGGAUUGUUUAUCUGAAGAGGUGAAUGUCAUUAGGGAAAUGUAUUUAUCACGCACGCACGCAGGCACGCACACACACACACACACACACACACACACACACACACACACA